rnacentral:rRNA from 1 species
UACGUAGGGGGCAAGCGUUAUCCGGAUUUACUGGGUGUAAAGGGAGCGUAGACGGCAUAGCAAGUCUGAAGUGAAAGCCCAAGGCUCAACCAUGGGACUGCUUUGGAAACUGUUAAGCUAGAGUGCUGGAGAGGUAAGCGGAACUCCUAGUGUAGCGGUGAAAUGCGUAGAUAUUAGGAAGAACACCAGUGGCGAAGGCGGCUUACUGGACAGUAACUGACGUUGAGGCUCGAAAGCGUGGGGAGCAAACAGG